GAUGAACGCUGGCGGCGUGCCUAAUACAUGCAAGUCGAGCGAACAGACGAGGAGCUUGCUCCUCUGACGUUAGCGGCGGACGGGUGAGUAACACGUGGAUAACCUACCUAUAAGACUGGGAUAACUUCGGGAAACCGGAGCUAAUACCGGAUAAUAUAUUUAACCGCAUGGUUCAAUAGUGAAAGACGGUUUUGCUGUCACUUAUAGAUGGAUCCGCGCCGCAUUAGCUAGUUGGUAAGGUAACGGCUUACCAAGGCAACGAUGCGUAGCCGACCUGAGAGGGUGAGCGGCCACACUGGAACUGAGACACGGUACAGACUCCUACGGGAGGCAGCAGUAGGGAAUCUUCCGCAAUGGGCGAAAGCCUGACGGAGCAACGCCGCGUGAGUGAUGAAGGUCUUCGGAUCGUAAAACUCUGUUAUUAGGGAAGAACAAAUGUGUAAGUAACUAUGCACGUCUUGACGGUACCUAAUCAGAAAGCCACGGCUAACUACGUG
rnacentral:rRNA from 1 species